UACGGGGGGGGCAAGCGUUGUUCGGAAUUACUGGGCGUAAAGGGCUCGUAGGCGGCCAACUAAGUCAGACGUGAAAUCCCUCGGCUUAACCGGGGAACUGCGUCUGAUACUGGAUGGCUUGAGUUUGGGAGAGGGAUGCGGAAUUCCAGGUGUAGCGGUGAAAUGCGUAGAUAUCAGGAGGAACACCAGUGGCGAAGGCGGUGGUCUGGGCCGAUACUGACGCUGUAGAGCGAAAGCGUGGGGAGCGAACAGG
rnacentral:rRNA from 1 species